UUCUCUAAGACUAAAGGAGAAGCCCACGAAGGAACGAUGGACUCUUUUUGAGUUUCGAGUCAUGGAAUAAAAGGAAGGGUUUGCAUAGAUGACCUGGAGACGCGGAGAGCUGAGUGAGGAAGAAUUUGAAGUCCUUGUCCAUCUGAAGCCAUGAUUUAAAUACCAGCAUUACGAUUUGAACAAGAACAACUUCAGCGUCAUUGGAUUCCCACGUCAAAGAAAAGUUCCAAGCUUUCAGAAAGAGUUCUUGCUUGAAGACAAAGAACAGCUUGCCAACCACAAUAGAGGAAUCGACCCUCAGCUUUUAAGUGCCCUUCCUAAAGUUGCAGAAUUAAGAAAAAUCUUCGAACCAA
rnacentral:lncRNA from 1 species